CAUCACAACCUCUUUAACAGACAGGAUACACAAACACAUCACCAACCUCUUUAACAGACAGGAUCCCCAAACAUCACAACCUCUUUAACCGACAGGAUAGACAACCUCUUUAACAGACAGGAUACACAACCUCUUAACAGACAGGAUAGACACACCCUCUUUAACAGACAGGAUACACAACACAACCUCUUUAACAGACAGGAUGACUCUUUAACAGCUACAACCUCUUCAACAGAUACACAACCUCUUUAACAGACAGGAUACACAACGAACCUCUUUAACAGACAGGAUACACAACCUCUUUAACAGACAGGAUACACAAACCUCUUAACAACGAAGGAUACAACAACAGAACCUCUUUAACAGACAGGAUAACACACCUCUUUAACAGACAGGAUACACAACCUCUUUAACAGACAGGAUACACAACCUCUUUAAAAGACAGGAUACACAACACAACCUCUUUAACAGGCAGGAUACCCAACCUCUUUACAGACAGGAUAGACACCUCUUUACAGACAGAUACACAACUCUUUACGACGGAUACACUACAACCUCUUAACAGACAGGAUACACAUCACAACCUCUUUAACAGACAGGAUACACACACAACCUCUUUAACAGACAGUACAUAACCUCUUUACAGAAGGAUACACAAACACAACCUCU
rnacentral:lncRNA from 1 species